AGCUGGGUGUGGUGGCACACUCCUAUAGUCCUCAGGAGCCUGCGGUAGGAGGACUGUUUUGAGCCCAAGAGUUCGAGGCUGUAAUAAGCUAUGAUCACACCACUGCACUCCAGCCUAUGUGACAAAGUAAGACCUUGUCUCUAAAAAAAGGGGGUAACAAUCAUCAUACUAAGUGCCCAGUACAAUGACUGAAAAUAGACCUAAACUAACUUACAUCAUAAUAAAAUUUUAGAACACAAUGGAAAAAGAUUCUAAAAGCUACUAGAGAAAAAAAAUGAGGUCAUAUACAAGAAAUCAGGAGUAAGAAUGCUUCAAACUUCCCAACAGCAAUACUGGAAUUGAGAAUACGUUGGAGCAAUACUUCACAUUUUUGAAGUAAAAUGAUCUCCAAACCAGAAUUCUAUACCCAGCCAAACUACCAAUGAGGAAGCUACCAGAGGAUGUGCUUCACCCAAACAAGGGAGUAAACCAAGAAGAGGGAAACAGAGAACACUGGACUUAAGAAAUCCAACAAUGAGAAGCAAAGGGAAUCUCCUGGAUGAUGAUAAAGAGAGAGCCCAGGAUGAAAGCUGUAUGCCAGGGAAAGUCCUGAUUAGACCAUGUGACAAGUCUUCAGGAAAGACUGCUUCUGGAUGAUAAAAUGAACUGAAUACCUGUUAAGAGACUUGGGGGGUCAAAUUUGCAAUAAGUACCAAACAAAGAAGAUUAAAAAAUGAUAAGUCCCAAGGGAAACAAUAUGUUGUAAAGAAAAAGUAGCUAUAGUUUGUUCAUGACAUAACUGUAACUUGCCUUGUACAUGAUAAUAUAAACACCGAAUCUUCCUCACUUUGUGAAAGAACAAUAUUGGGCAAAUGCGCAGGUUUUGGAAAGUUCCAUGUGUAGGGGGAUGGAGGGAGAAAUUAGCAAAAUCCUCCUUUUCUAUAGCUAAUACCUAUAAAGUGCUACAACACCCAGACAGGAUACUUCUUUGUUGCUUUCAUUAUAAUAUCCUUGGGUAUUGCUGUUGGCUAUUUCUUAAUACUACUUAAAUAUUCACAAGUGUACGACUUGUUUUCCCAACCUAACUAUAAGCUCUUUGAUAGUUAAUGCUUCUCUAUAUUAUCUGUAGUGGCUGGCAUAGUAUGCUACGCAUAGUAUGUGGUCAGUUUGAGAAAUAUUAGUUGAAUAAAAUAAUAGUGUUGGAACAAAUAAA